CGCACAACCAAAGGCCCGACACCCCCAAAAUGCAGGCCCACCUCUCUGCAAUGGGUCUCAGCGACCCCCUUUCCAAAGCAGGCAGAAGCCCCCAAAGCCUUGUCAAACAUGAAAUUGGGUGGUGUGACUCAUGGAUGCUUUGCUCCCUGAGAUCCCCUCCUAGCUGUGAUUGUUUACUGGUGACCGGCUGACACUGACACUGCAGGGAUUUGAGAAGAAGAGUUUUUCUGUGGAUCUGUGGAUCCAUUCUGCGGAUCUGUGGCUGGCUAAAAGAGCUCUAUUGAAACACCACGGCAAAGGGAAUAAAGUUCUCAAUGAAUGGUUUUCUUA